rnacentral:rRNA from 1 species
CAUGCAAGUCGAGCGAACGGACGAGAAGCUUGCUUCUCUGAUGUUAGCGGCGGACGGGUGAGUAACACGUGGAUAACCUACCUAUAAGACUGGGAUAACUUCGGGAAACCGGAGCUAAUACCGGAUAAUAUUUUGAACCGCAUGGUUCAAAAGUAAAAGACGGUCUUGCUGUCACUUAUAGAUGGAUCCGCGCUGCAUUAGCUAGUUGGUAAGGUAACGGCUUACCAAGGCAACGAUGCAUAGCCGACCUGAGAGGGUGAUCGGCCACACUGGAACUGAGACACGGUCCAGACUCCUACGGGAGGCAGC